ensembl:misc_RNA Gm22036 predicted gene, 22036
GAAAGUGAGGGUUAUUUGUCUGUGACAUCUGUCACUCCAUCACCUGCCAGGCAGAUUUAGCUGAUGUGGCUAAGUGGUGUCUCCUUUCUCCCUCACUGCUCCAGGUACUUCAGUUCCAAAGCUGCAUGAUCAGUUGAUAAGGAUGAAUUUUCCUCACAGAGGAGGACAGUCUUUUUUUUAUUAUUAUUAUUACGUACUUUCCUCAAUUACAUUUCCAAU